rnacentral:lncRNA from 1 species
UCGGAAUAAAGAAAUCCCGAACCUCACGGACCAGCAAACACGGCGUCGAAGGAUUUCCUGCCAGCCGUGAGCUUCAUCAUCAUCCAUCCCAAGUUCACAUACUCACUCCUCCCAGCCGAGAUCCUCUUGGUUCAUGGAUUGAAUUCCAUCUCUUAGCCGAGAUCCUCCUAACGUCACAGAAUCUUCUUCCGCAUCCCCUGUACGUGAAGAAGCGUCGGAUGAAUCCCCUGCAUCCCGGAACCAAGUUUUCUUAGCAUCCAGCCGAAUCCAAACUCCCAAGCUCAUCAGCUCAUCUUCACAACGUCUGGAAGCUAGCAGCCGUCCGAGAUCCCUGCUCCACGUCCUCGCCAUCCGAGCUCCAAGGAUCAAGCCGACUUCAGCCAACGAAUUCCAGUUCCCAGCUCACCGACUUUCUCGUCCACGGAUUCCUUCACGUCCACGAAUCAAACCAAGUUUUCUCCCAACAUCCGGAUUAGAUCUUCUCAAGUGUAUCUCCCAGCAUCUUCAUCUCCAGCCAUGCUUAUCUCCCACGGAUAGAAUUUCUUCUCAUCCUUAUUCGACCCAUCCUGCUGCCAGCCAGGAUAGCAUCCCGAACAAAUCUCAGCCAAGUCCCAGCGUUCCGUAUCAACUCCCCUGUUCAGCCUCCAUCCUUAUCCCAUCGUCAAAGGAUCAAAAGAUAUCGACUCUAUCCCGCAGCCGUUGAUCCAUCUUUAUCUCAACUUGGAACAGGGGAGAGAGAAGGAGGUAUGCAGUCUAUAAAAGGCUCUUCAUGGAAACCAGAGGGGGAUGCUUGGAAAAAAAGGAUCAGCAAGCUUCUCCCUAUAGCCGAGUUUUCAAGGAAGUCAGAAAGAGGGAGAAGACGGAGCGAAGAAGGAGGUAGCUAUGAUGGGAGUCGGAGUCCUCUGCGCUACUGCUAUCGUCCACAACUAUAUGGAAAGCUGAUCUCCUCUCCAGGGCUGGAUGUAGCCCUAACACAGGGACAUGGGUUUUAUAUUUUAUUCUAUAUUCUUGGGGUUGUAUGAACUUAUUGUUUUCAAUGGAUAUCUUCUUUUGAAUCA